rnacentral:tRNA from 1 species
GGCGAAAUUGGUAGACGCUGCGGACUUAAAUUAAA